rnacentral:rRNA from 1 species
CAGCAUGCCGCGGUGAAUACGUUCCCGGGCCUUGUACACACCGCCCGUCACACCACGAGAGUUUGUAACACCCGAAGUCGGUGGGGUAACCUUUUAGGAGCCAGCCGCCUAAGGUGGGAUAGAUGAUUGGGGUGAAGUCGUAACAAGGUAGCCGUAUCGGAAGGUGCGGCUGGAUCACCUCCUUUCUAAGGAA